GCGGGGUGUGGUUAGCUCAUCUGCCGAGGGGAGAGCGGUUCAGGGAACGGUGCCGGCAGGUAAGGUAAGGUAGCACAACUGGGCAACAUCAUGACUGAUUUUCUCCCCUUAAAACAGUGAGCAGGACUCGAAUGGGGGAGAGAGACUGAAGCAGGUCCUCAGGGGCAAGGGAGCGGACAUUAGGAAAAUAUUUGUGUUAUUGUAGCUAACAAUGGUUUACAGAGCUGAUUGUUUUUAUAUGGGGCAAUUUGGAAUAAGUGAAUAUGGGAUAAAGUGGCAUAUAUCUAUAUAUAAUAGUAGCCAAUUAAAUGCAAUCACCAGGUUUUCUUUUUCUGUUAAUCCUUGCUUCCACCGUGCAGCUAUUUAAAACUUUAACGUAGACCAUUACCCUUUACCCCGUCAAUGAGCCAUGUAGGUGGAGGAGGUUUGGAGGAAUACAGAGUUCACUGUGCCGUCUCAUGGGGAAUCUAAAGAGGGAGCCACAGAGGAUAUCCAGGUACUCUUGGAUGACGGCAUCAUAAAUGUAGGCACGUUGUCAUCUUCUCGCUACGUAGCUCCCGUCAAGUACAGGGUGCACAAAUGGCUGAGACAGCUGACCCCCUUCAACCAAACCCUGGAUGAGUGGCUUACAUGACAAAGAAACUGGCUUUAUCUACAGAGUAUAUUUUGUGGCCCCAGACAUCAAAAGGCAGCUUCCUGCUGAGUCCAAAAUGUUUCAAAAGGUGGACAAAUCAUGGAAGGAGAUAAUGGCAAGGGCCAAUACGAGGCCUAAUGCCCUUGAAGCAGCCACACAGCCCGGUUCAUCUUAUCUAAUGACGAGCUGCUGAAGAUCUUGGCCCAGACAAGAAACCCCCAAGCAGUGCAGCCUCACCUUCGGAAGUGUUUUGAUGCCAUUACCCGACUAGAGUUUGCUUUGCUACCCAAAUCCUCUGGGACCAAGACAUCCUGUACAUGGUUUCCCCUGAUCGAGAGAAGGUGGCUUCGACUAAAGGUCUUAAGGUACAAGGCACUGUGGAGGAUUGGCCUUGCAAGGUGGAGGAGGCUAUGUUCAACUCGUUGCGCUCCCUCAGUAAGGCUGCCAUCGCUGACUACCAGGUGAAGUCUAGAGAGGGAUGGAUGCUGGCCGGACAUCCAUCGCAGGUGGUGCUGACCAUCUCACGGUUGAUGUGGUACAAAGAGAUGGACGCUUGGCUGGAUGGAGACCACGACCACUUAGCUGCCUCGCAGGAAUUCAAACUAACUAACUAACUUUGAUAGGGUGAAUGCCUUGGCGGCAUUGAUUCGUAAUAUCAUCACUUAGGCCCAUCAUAAUCAUAUAAGCCCUCAUCACCAUCGAUGUCCAUGCCAGAGAUAAAGUCAUAGAUGUAGUCCGCCAGAAGGUGGACAACAGGGAUAACUUUGAAUGGCAGACGCAGUUGCGCUACUAUUGGGACCUGGACCAGGACAACUGUGUUGCCAAAAUGGCCCUGUCCACUUCCAUUUACGGCUAUGAAUAUCUGGGAGCCUGUCCUAGACUGGUUAUAACAUAUCUUAUGGACCUUUGCUAUUUGUGCCUGAUGGGGGCUCUCCAAUUAGACCUUGGAGGAGCACCAGCCGGGCCAGCAGGACCGGCAAAACAGAAACCACCAAGGACUUGGCUACGGCCCUGGCAGUUCAAUGUGUGGUCUUUAACUGCUAGGAUGGACUUGACUACAAGUUUGGGCUCAAUAAUUUCCUGAGUGCGGGCGGAUGAGGUCUGAGCCGAGAAGUUAAUGCAGACUGGGAGGCAUCCUGCCCUUUCCUGAAUACCGUUCAGAAGGCCCCGAGCCACCACUGACUGUAAGGAUGGAUGCAAAAAUACUUUUUAAAUCAAUACCCAGGUAUGCACUUAAUUCUGUAAUGGCCUCGUUGACAAAAUGAGAACCAUUGUUGCUUGAUAUUUUGGCCGGAAUGCCCCAUCGAGGAAUGAUUUCAGAAAUCAGGGCCUUGGCCACUGUUGCAGCGGUUUGUUUGCUAGAUGGAAAAACCUCAACCCACUUGGAAAACAUGUCUACCAUCACCAGACAAGGUUUCUUACCUUCAGAUGGAGAUAACUCCACAAAAUCCAUCAUAAUGUGCUCAAAUGGGCGGGUUGGUGGUGGGUGUGCAGCCUGGCUGGACACGCCGACGGGCCUGCCUACAUUGUGAGUAGAACAGGUGACACAUGCAGAACAAAAUUGUUGUGCAUGUGCUGUGAACCCUUUUGUAAACCACGUCUCAUUAAGUGCACGUAACAUUCCACCUUUUGACACAUGGUCUAACCCAUGAGUCAACUUAGCAUAAUGGGCAGAUACUGAUACUAUGAUACUAUCUAUCACAUUCAGAACAGACAACAGAGCCUCAGCCGACACUUGAAUUUCAGUGUACGUUUAUGCUGAUAUUUACGGUAUUGAGCAAGUAACCGGACCAAACUUUGAGAAAUGGUACCGUAAAUGUCAGCAUAAACGUGCACUAAAUUUCAAGUGUCGCCUGAGUUGACCGCAGUCUAGAGCUGCCGAAGUGGGAACCGCAAGCCCUAGUAUUUCCAAAAAACCCUCAAUAUGUGUCAAAAUAGUAUCCGCAGAUAACCCAUGUUGAUCGAUUUGAUCCGCUAAUGCUAGCAUGCUAUCUCGGAGCCCACCGAUGUCUUCCAUUAUGUCAACACUCUCACGUUCCUUAGCCAGCCUUUUUUGCACACGUCUCUGUUGUCUGUUCUGACUGUGAUAGAUAGCCACGUCCCCUGAUUUGCAUAUAAGAAAGUGAAAUGAAAUACUGUGUCAUUGUGCAUUACCGUGUCAUUAUGCAUUACCGUGUAGUCGAUUGAUGGGGUGGGGUCGUUAGUUGGGGACAGAGGAAGAAAGUAUGAGACAAAGUAGUGAUCAGAUACAUGCAGUGGAGUUACAGUGAGGUUAGUUGUAGCGCACUCUUCAGUGUUCCUAGUAAGAUGUAGUCAAGGUGAUUGCCAGCUUUGUGAGUAUUUGUGGGAAACCGGAGAACCAGGAGAA